rnacentral:rRNA from 1 species
AUUGAACGCUGGCGGCAGGCUUAACACAUGCAAGUCGAGCGGAGAUGAGGUGCUUGCACCUUAUCUUAGCGGCGGACGGGUGAGUAAUGCUUAGGAAUCUGCCUAUUAGUGGGGGACAACAUUCCGAAAGGAAUGCUAAUACCGCAUACGUCCUACGGGAGAAAGCAGGGGAUCUUCGGACCUUGCGCUAAUAGAUGAGCAUAAGUCGGAUUAGCGAGUUGGUGGGGUAAAGGCCUACCAAGGCGACGAUCUGUAGCGGGUCUGAGAGGAUGAUCCGCCACACUGGGACUGAGACACGGCCCAGACUCCUACGGGAGGCAGCAGUGGGGAAUAUUGGACAAUGGGGGGAACCCUGAUCCAGCCAUGCCGCGUGUGUGAAGGAGGCCUUAUGGUUGUAAAGCACUUUAAGCGAGGAGGAGGCUACUGAGACUAAUACUCUUGGAUAGUGGACGUUACUCGCAGAAUAAGCACCGGCUAACUCUGUGCCAGCAGCCGCCGUAAUAC